rnacentral:rRNA from 1 species
AUUGAACGCUGGCGGCAUGCUUUACACAUGCAAGUCGAACGGUAACAGGCCGCAAGGUGCUGACGAGUGGCGAACGGGUGAGUAAUGCAUCGGAACGUGCCCAGUCGUGGGGGAUAACGCAGCGAAAGCUGCGCUAACACCGCAUACGAUCUCUGGAUGAAAGCGGGGGACCGAAAGGCCUCGCGCGAUUGGAGCGGCCGAUGUCAGAGUAGUGUAGUUGGUGGGGUAAAGGCCCACCAAGCCAACGAUCUGUAGCUGGUCUGAGAGGACGACCAGCCGACCUGGGUGUGAGACACGGCCCCGACUCCUACGGGAGGCAGCAGUGGGGAAUUGUGCAAAAUGGGCGCAAGCCUAGUCCAGCAAUGCCGCGUGCAGGACGAAGGUCUUCGGGUUGUAAACUGCUUUUGUACGGAACGAAACCGUCCGGGCUAAUACCCUGGGCUAAUGACGGUACCGUAAGAAUCAGCACCGGCUAACUACGUGCCUGCCGCCGCCGUAA